GCCAUUAUUAUCUCUUUAUACAGAGAUGGUGUGAUAAGUUGUUAUGCUAGCCAUUUGGCCCCUAAUCCCUUAAGUUAACAAGCCACAAUCAGAUAGGCUAUUGGGAUGAGGGAUCCACCUACUAAUUCAAGAGAUAGGGUUGUUGGUCGUAGGUGUCGGAUGCGGAUCAUACCCAUGUUUUGAAAAGUUGCUGAGAGGGUUCAUAGAUCUUCCACAUGGAU
rnacentral:lncRNA from 1 species